rnacentral:sRNA from 1 species
UGACAAGGACCAAAGGCUAAAUUCGCAACGUCCUGUUGCAACGCCUUUGUGGCCUGCAUCGUACAUG